CACUUUGUUGACCAGGCUGGUCUCGAACUCCUGGCUUCAAGGGAUCUUCCUGCCUCAGCCUGGACAGCCUGGACUCGAGGGAAUCCAGGCUAAAUGAUGGCCCAAAGCAAAUAACCAUACUGAGAGGUGAAGAUUUAGCUUCAGAAGAUGAAUCUGCCUUAACUGAGGUCAGCAAGCAAGUCGAAGCAGACCCAGAAAAAUUCAGAGCAUUUGGAAAUGAAGUUGGAAGGCGAUACAUAGAAGAAGGAAGUUGAUUGAACCAAGAGAGAAUGAUCCCUGAUAGCAAAGAAGUUAGUGAAGGCCCAAUACUAUGAAAAUAUGAAUCCAUGAAAUUCAAAUGGCCUGUGAGCUUGGCAGACUCUACAAAAAAUUCAAACAUGUUGACACUGGUGCAAUCACAUGCCUCUUUUCCAGGAUAUGGCCCUUCUUCAGAAUUCCUUCCCAGAGGUAUUUGGAUUAUAUGUGCCCAAUUACAUCUUCUUUGUGUGCUCACAUGAUGCAACAGUCCAAAGGCUAAAGGAACUGAAACUGAACCAUCGAUCAGGCCUAUUGUGAAAAUUGGAAAACUGGUCUUUCCCUGCUUGUAAAUGCUGCCCCAAAUGCCCCCAAACGACUGUUACAAAGUUUUCCUUGGGAUUUAACUAAGAUUCCUGGGGAUUUAAGAUACUGGCUGCCAGAUUGUUAAAAUGCAUUAAUGUUUAUAGUGAUUAUGAUUACGAGAACUAAUAAUAAAUAC